GACGAACGCUGGCGGCGUGCUUAACACAUGCAAGUCGAGCGGUAAGGCCCUUUCGGGGGUACACGAGCGGCGAACGGGUGAGUAACACGUGGGUGACCUGCCCUCAGCUCUGGGAUAAGCCUGGGAAACUGGGUCUAAUACUGGAUAUGACUCCACGGUGCAUGUCGUGGGGUGGAAAGCCUUGUGCGGCUGAGGAUGGGCCCGCGGCCUAUCAGCUUGUUGGUGGGGGAUGGCCUACCAAGGCGACGACGGGUAGCCGGCCUGAGAGGGCGGACCGGCCACACUGGGACUGAGACACGGCCCAGACUCCUACGGGAGGCAGCAGUGGGGAAUCUUGCGCAAUGGGCGAAAGCCUGACGCAGCGACGCCGCGUGAGGGAUGACGGCCUGGUGUAAC
rnacentral:rRNA from 1 species